UACAGAGGGGGCAAGCGUUGUUCGGAAUUACUGGGCGUAAAGGGCGCGUAGGCGGCCUGUUAAGUCGAACGUGAAAUCCCCGGGCUUAACCUGGGAAUUGCGCUUGAAACUAGCGGGCUUGAGUGCGGCAGAGGGGGGGUGGAAUUCCACGUGUAGCAGUGAAAUGCGUAGAGAUGUGGAGGAACACCGAUGGCGAAGGCAGCCCCCUGGGUCAAGAUUGACGCUCAUGCACGAAAGCGUGGGGAGCAAACAGG
rnacentral:rRNA from 1 species